CCAUGGGUACCAUGGAUAUACAUGGACACCUAGGCACAUAAGGGGGUAUGCAUAUACACGAAAAAACUCCCUCUCACACAGAAGUUGGCAUGAUGUAUAGAAAAACAAGUCCAUCCUGAGUGUGGGCUUCACUUUAGAUAUUAAGGUCCAACAUUAAAACAGGAAUGUGUGAAGACAAGGAGCUCUGUGUUCCCUGGGACCAGAAGGAACAGAGUGGCUGUGCUGACUCACAUGAAAUAAACUCUCAAUCACAGUCUGUGACAGCCAGGUCACAGGACCCAGGCUGCUGUGUUAUGUGUGAGCACCCAGUGCAGCCAGAAGCUAAGUACUGAGCACUGACUGGCCCAAGCCCAGAAAGGGUCUCUGUUUUUCAGAGUGCUGGGGGACAGUGCAGUGUGUAGCAGUUUCCUCUUGAAGACUCUUCUGGGGUUUUGAGUUCCCUGUAGAGGACCCUCAUGGCUACAGACACUAAGCCUGGGAGGAAAGAUCCUCAUCUGUAGAGUUCAUUGAAAGGCCUGAGAGCAGAAAAGCAAAGAAGCAGCAAAAUGUGCCCCUUCUGCUCACUGUGGUUCAGCUUCUGCCUUUGCAGUUGAGCUCAGGUGCCCUGGAGUCCUCCCUAGCCUGAGUGAGUGAUUUCAAGGCCAAGUCACAUCCUCCUGGUUUUUAGUAUCAAACGCAGCCCAGUUUCAGCCCAGGUAAGCUGUGAAUACCAGGUAUGCCUUGCUGUCUGCAUUGUAGGGGAACUGUUGAGCCCCAAAGGACGCAAGGGCUACAAGGUAAGGAAUCAUAGGACUGGGCUAGGCCUGGAAUCCAAGUUCCCUUCACCCCUGCCUGGUAACUGGUUCUUGCUGUGUAUAGGGGACAGAAAGAUAGGGUCCUAUGGGAGCCCUGGCACAGGCCUGCCCAAGCAUGGCUUAGGGAUCCUCACAACAUCCUAGCAUUUGAUGUGUCCCCAGGUUUGUCUACCACCCUCAGCCGUGUGCCAUUUUCUGUGCCACCUGCAAGGGACUCUAAAUAUCUUCCUACAAAAGGUGAUCAAGGAGGGGUUGUACAAGGACACAUGGUGGCUCUGUGGUGAAGUUAACAUGGACCAAUAGAUUAGAGGGCCAGAGCCCCAGGACCAAUGCUGGGUGGACACACUCCUCUGACAUCCAACACAGAGAUCUUUGUACAGAGAUCAAGAGAAUUCUUAUCUGAAUAGCAGUGCAGAGCACCUCAGGCUCAGGGACUCAGGACUGACACCCAUAGAAUGCUGUAGAGGAGCCGUUUGUGAUUCAAGGGCUCAUCUGCCUGGGUCCUUGAGCCUAUAGAGAUGAGCAGAGGACUGGGCUGUGGCUGGUUAUGGGCUCAGACAGGGAGGUGCUAGGGAGCUUGUUUUUGGCUCCUGGGAGUAGAGCAGUUUUUCUUUCCCUGUCCCUGCUUUUUGAGUUUUUCUUUCCUUGGGAAAAUGGAAGGACUGGAAGAAGUCUGGCUAUGGAGAGUGAGGCUGGCUGGGAAACUGCUCGCUGUUCUCCAUUGUCAUCCUGCUGGGGGUUUGGGGUUGUUGGCAGGUUAGCCUCUCCACCAUUCCAGUCUGCUUCUCUCCAUUUAAUCCAUGCAUCUCUGUCUCUUCGCUUCGUUACAUGGAUGCACAAGUCCUACCAGUAGCUGCCACUCCAGGGCAUAAGUCCCUCAGUGAGUGAAUUCCAGAUGGUUCUGUCUAGAGAGAAAUUGGACAGGGUCGUUCAUCAGUAUGUAGGAACAUGGAAGAUGAUACUGCACUGCACCCAAACACAUUUCAUAUAAAAUCAAUCCUACUGGUCAGGUACUAAUCCACUCUAUUUACACCUUUCCCCAUUAUUGCUAUUCACUGUACUGUGAAUUUUUAUUAUAUUUUACUUCUGCAAAAGAAGAGACAGAGUUUAGCACUGGAGAUUCCCUAGGGACUGGCUGGAAAGGACGCCUUGACACACGUGUGCUUCUGGGAAAAAGCUCUUUCAUAGGAUGCCUCCAUGAGUUCCAGGAUGUGUGGAGGGCUCUGUGCCCUAUCCAGGGUUGACCUCAAUAUAUUAAUGGGAGCUGAUGCUUCUCUCUAAUAGAACAGUGCCACCCUCCUUGGAGAUGUCUGUGAUUGUAUAUGCUUAGCUUUAGAGUAUCAUUAUUAGGAGACUUUGCCUUGUUAAAGUAGGUGUGUCACAUUGGCCUGGGCUUUAAGACCCUUUUCCUAUCCACAUGCAAGCCAAUCUUCCCCAAGCAGCCUUCAGAUGAAGAUGUAGAACUCUCAGUCUCUCUGGCACCAUGCCUGCCUGGAUGCUGCCAUGCUCCCCAGCUUGAAGAUAAUGGACUGAGUUUCUGAACCUGCAAUCCUGUGUUCAUUAAUGUUGUCCUUAUAAGAGCUGCAUUUGUUGUGGUGUGUCUCUUCUCAGCAGUAAACCCCUAACUCAAACAAUGUCCAUGUUCCCUUCUUCUGCCUCCAGACAUUAGAAGCUUCCUACAUGAGCGGCAUACUCUUGGGAUAUGGCCCUAAUAGGCGCUAGGCUGUCUGCUUGAUCUGAGAGUGCUAGGACAUCCUGCUCCUAAGGGCAUUGUUACCGCUCCCUUGCAAUACUGUUUAUAGCAUCAGCAGGCUCCUGCUCUGUUACCCGCUGAACACAAUGCUGUCUUCUACAGGAGUGGAUCCAACAGCUCUCAGAACCUCCUCAGGAACUAUGUGUUUCCCAAGGAUUACCUGCACUUGCUUACACACCCCUAUCCUGUGUUCUGAAAACUUUUCAAAGCCCAUUCAUCUGUGACUGCUGCUGUCUGAAGUAGAGAACACUGUCAACUGCCCCAGAGGGGAUUUUGGGAGCUCCUACCAAGAAUGCCUCAGCUCCUUACUGAGAAGAUAUACAUUCCACAGAUGGGGCUUUAUUGAGAUGAGCAGAUUCUAAGGGGGCUGCCUUGAAUGAACAGCCAAAAAAGGAGAAAUGAAGAACAAGCAAUUGCACCAGCCAUGUCGAAGGUGACUUUGCUCUGAAGAAUAGGACUGGAAGAAACUGAUUAAGUCAAAUCACUUCUCUAUCUCUGUAUCUCUAUCUCUAUCUCUAUCUCUCUAUCCACCCAUCCAUCCAUCAACCAUCCAUCUAUCUAUCUAUCUAUCUAUCUAUCUAUCUAUCUAUCUAUCUAUCUAUCUAUCUAUCUAUCUAUCUAUCUAUCUAUCUAUCUCCCUGAGGGAAGUCAGCUUUCAUUUGUAGGAAGAAGGUCACAUCCGCGCCCCAUUAUGGUGAAAACCAGGAUUGCAGGGAGUGAGAUAGAUGGGUUAUUUCUUUCUUCCUUCCUUGUAUCUUCUUAUAUCUUUGUAUCUUUGUUUCUUUGUAUCUUUCUUUCUUCCUUCCUUCCUUCCUCCCCCCCCCCCCUCUCUCUCUCUCUCUCUCUCUCUCUCUCUCUCUCUCUCUCUCUCUCUCUCUCUCCUUCUUUCUUUCUUACUUCUUUUUUGCUUUUGGUAGGAUAGAAUGCCAGUUGUGGCCAGUCCCCAUCAGCAUCCACUGUGCUACAGACCCAGUCUCAGUGUGACACAGAAGAGGCCUAAUUGGAAAGUUUGUCCUCUCUCUAAGGGAUACUGUAUAUACAGUGCUCUGGACUGCAGGUCAGACAAGGCCUGCGUUUAGGAGACUUGUGGACAGAAGAAUGUCUGUGAGUCUGGACUUAGACUCCGUGGAGGGCUCAGGUCACCUGACUGUCCUGAAGCUUCCCACUGUGAAUUAUUUCCCUCCUACAGAGUCAGCCACCUGAGCAACUUCAUUUCCUGGUUAUCCCUUAAUCCUCUUACACUGUGUAGAGUGUUCAAUCUCAGGGAGGGCCUGGGAAUCUGAGAGACACCACUGAGCCCCCUGGGCCUGGCUGAUUCAACCUGAGGCUACUCUGUGUGUCUUCAUUUUGCUCACCCACCAGAGACCUCAAAAGUCAGCAGUGAGCUUGCUGUGAGGUCAGGAACCUCCAUAUUGGCCCAAGAGCAACUGUCCUCUUUUACAGGUUCAUCCACAGAGCACGUAAUUCUGAUUGGUGCAACAGUCUGGAAGAGUGAAAGACGUCAUCUCCCAAGGGCAAGUGCUGUGCUAGUGGACACUGAGGAGCUGCACGGAUCAGACCCUUCCCCAUCCUUCUCCAGCCUCUCUUGUUCUUCCUUGAGAUGUUUCCUACAGAUCUGAAAGAUCCAGGCAGUCCAUGACAUGCAUUUGAAUUUAAUCUCAGGACAUUUUACUCCUUGCUCUAAAAUUAAGACCAGGUAAUUCAUUUGUUUGUUUGUUUAUUUAUUUGUUAUAUGUAAGUACAAUGUAGCUGUCUUUAGAAACACCAGAUACAGCAUCAGGUCUCAUUUGAGAUAUUUGUGAGCCACCAUAUAGUUGCUGGGAUUUGAACUCUGGACCUCUGAUAGAGCAUUCAGUGCUCCUAACCACUGAGCAAUUUUUCCAACUUCCAGACUAACUUUUUAAAUUCCCAUAAUGUAUUCUUUAUUCAGGUUACAUCCUGAUCCCAGCCACUCUCCCUCUGCCUGUCUUCAGGGUAGGAGAUUACAGGAAGGCCCCAAUUUUCAGCAGGGGAGUGGGUUUGCUUCCAGAGCAGGCAGUGGGGUCGUAAACAUCUCACUCUCAGGGAAUUGGGAGCUUUCCCAUAUAAGAAUUUUCUGUGGUGGAAGCUCAGUUUGCUGUCUGGCUUCUUUUUAGUUUUCUCUUGCUUCUUCUGGAAUGAGAAUUUCUUUAUUAAGAGCUUAGAGGGUGUUUCUGGCCAGACUAUGUUCAUGUGCAGGCCCAUCCCUGGACGGCUGGAUGCUUAGACUCUCCUGGGGAGACCUGUUUCCUUUCUGCAGCAGGCCAGCUACUAUGAGAACAAAAGGACCCCAUCAGAUGUUCACAGUGCACAACACACAUACACAAACUCACGCAUGCACACACACACACACUAUACAAAUAUAUAUAUAUAUAUAUAUGUAUAUAUCUUCCAUAUUCCUAAACCCACACAACAUACACAUCACGUGUCAGAUGUGCAUGCACAUUACAUAUAUCACAGACAUAUAUACACUGUGCACAUCACACGUGCCAUUUGUACUUAUAUGCACACAUGCAUGCACACCUCACUCUACACACAUGCCUGCCAUGCACACAUGUAUAUAGGAACACCAAAAUGAGUGAAGAGAUUUUAAAGGAGGCUUGUGCAGUCAGGGUAUGAUAGGCUUGGGCAUGACUACCCUCUGUGUUACAGUCAACUGCGGUCUGGUCUUUUAGCUACUUUCACAACAGGGCCAGUGCCUGUGUAGAAGGAACACCAAGGCCACAUCUCAGGGAAGUGAACUGAGGACUCAGAAGAGGCACAGGCCCUGGAGUAUGGAAAGGCAGAGCAUGGUAUGCAGAUGUAAAUGCUGUAAGGCACUCUGGCUUGUCCACUCCAAUAGGCACAAUAGUAAGCACGAGGCCAGUAGAUGUCGUAUCCGUGGGAAGAACCCUCUGGAUGCCAUGUUAGCAACUUAGGGUGUUUCUUGUUUUCAGUCCAUGCUGUGGACAAGGAAUCAGGAGGUGUGGGGUAGAGUGGAGACUUGAGCACCUACCCUCUAUGUUGUGAACCUAGUGGAUGUUUUUCUGCCCUUCUAGAACUGUGAGUGGCCUGUGCCAGCACAGCAGAAUGGGGACAUUCCCAGUUCCAUAGGAUACUGCAGGCUUGGGGACUGGGUACUUAGGCUUUUGGCUGUGCACCACACCACCUUCCUGACCAAUGGUACAUUAAGUCAACCAGUGCUUGCAGAAUGCUUGAGACAACACAAAUGUCUCCUUUCUAACUGGAAACAACAUAUAAAGGUCUAAUACAAGUCAGUAAUGUGUCUCUGAUUGUCCUGUGGCACUGGGUGAAUUAAGGACAUGAUGGAGAGCAUGCCAAAGAGUCUAACUCAUUCUGUCCCAUCUUCCUUCUGAAUGCAGGUCUCCAGGAUCCAGUGCUCACACGGACUCAGGGCUGCUGCUCAGGGAACCAGCAAACCCUGUUGCUCUGACCAUGCCACCGUGAAGGGCGGUCUCGUUCUGUUCCAGUCUCUGCGGUGCCACUGUGUAUUAGAAAGGACAUCUUUCAAAGGAGGGGUUGGUGAAGGGCAAUUUACCUUCUCUUUCAGAGAUACAACUGUCUGAGGAGAGGCUAGGAGGUGUUGCAGAACCAAAAUAUAGAGCUAGAGGGAUCAUAAAAUCGAGGUUGGAAGGUUAGCUCAAGGCUGCAUGUCCCUGAACACCUUGGUGGGGGUGAAGGGUGACUUAAUAGUCACUAGUAGCCCAGUGCCUGUCAGUACUCUACAUGACCUUGUUGCCCUUGCUUCUUCUGGUGCUCAACAGCACCACUCAGAUGCAAACAGCAAGGCCUAGAUAGUGUCCACAUCUCCCAUGGCUUGACACUGUGCUGGGUUUGAUACUACAAACUGGGAGGCUGGGACUUGAACUUGAGAUCACUGACUCAGGCUAGGGAGGACUCCAGGGCACCUGAGCUCAGCUGCAAAGGCAGAAACUGAACCACAGUGAGCAGAAGGGGCACAUUUUGCUGUUUCUUUCCUUUUCUGCUCUCAGGCCUUUCAAUGAACACUACAGAUGAGGAUCUUUCCUCCCAGGCUUAGUGUCUGCAGCCAUGAGGGUCCUCUACAGGGGAUUGAAAACCCCAGAAGAGUCUUCAGAAGGAAAGUGCUACACACUGCACUUCCCCCAGCACUCUGAAAAACAGAGACCCUUUUGGGAUUUGGGCCAGUCAGUGCUCAAUAGUUAACUUCUGGCUGCACUGGGUGCUCACAAAUAACACAGCAGCCUGGGUCCUGUGACCUGGCUGUCACAGACUGUGAUUGAGAGUUUAUUUUAACUGUGUCAGCACAGGAACUCUGUUCCUUCUGGUCUGAGGGAGCACAGAGCUCCUUGUCCUCACACACACCUGUUCCACUAUUGGACCUUAGUGUCUUAAAGUAAGCCCUACACUCAGGAUGGACUUGGUUUUCUAUAAAAUCCUGCCAACCUCUGUGUGUAAAGAGGGGGAGGGGAGGGAUGGAAGGAUGGCGAGAGAGAGAGAGAGAGAGAGAGGGAUGGAUGGAGGGAAAGACAGAACAAGAGAGAGAGCAAGAGUGAGAGCAAGAGCAAGCGAGAGAGAGAGAGAGAGAGAGAGAGAGAGAGAGAGAGAGAGAGAGAGAGAACAUGCACUAGCCACCAAAGAAGCAUUCCUGUAUUCUUCAUUAGCCUUACAGCUUUGUCUCUCUUCCCUGAUUAUUGCCUUUUCUGCUGUGUUGGGUUUUUUUGUAAAGAAAUGCUUGACUUUCUCUUCCUUUCUGUUGAUCUGGGGUUUGGUUCUUUUUUUCUUUGUUACCAUGGAGAUCAUACUGAAAAUGCUAAAAUACUACCAGUCCUAUGUGAACUGUAUUACUGCUAUUUUGACAGCCCUGAACAACUUCUUCAGUUUCUGAUGUCAAUGAAGGAGAUGUCUGUGUACAUGAGCCUCGGUGGCACUGCUGUUUGUGGUCAUAUAACAUGGCAUCUCUCACAUCUUGGAGGAAGCAGAAGUUCACCUUGCCUUUGGGGAUUGUCCGGGGAUCACCUGUUCUUUAUUUCUUCUUGAGAUUCUGAAAUCCUUUAAAUCGGUCUUCAUCUGUGGGAGUUUCUUAGUUUUCUUCCUCAAUUUUGAAGGAAAAUUUUACUAGAAAAUCAUAGUUCCUAAAGAGUGUUUGUGUUGUUGUUUUUGUAUAGUGUUGUGUAUACUCACCCAUUCUGUGAGUCUGUGUGAGUGUAAGUCUGUGUGUUUGUAAUAAAGGGUGGGAAUGUGUGUGGUGUGGUAUGUGUGUGCUUGUGUGUGUGUAUGUGUGUGUGUGUGUGUGUGUGUGUGUGUGUGUGAGAGAGAGAGAGAGAGAGAGAGAGAGAGAGAGAGAGAGAGAAAAGAAUGAAGCAGUCUUGUAUGUACACUGUUAUGGAUGUGUCCCACCAUGUGUGUGGAGGUUAGAGGACAUUUUUGUCAGACCUUAUCUUACCUUGUUUGGAACUAGGUGUGUGGUUUGAUGUUGCACAUGGCAGGUUGCCUGAAUGACAAGCUCCCAGGCAAAUUUCUGUCUCUCCUGCUUUUCCUGCUUCCUAAAAGCUCUGGUAUUACAGGUGUGUGCUCAACUUUCGCAUGGGUUCAAAAUCAGGUCUUCACCCUUUGCAGGGCAGAUGAGAAUCAAAAGCCUUGGAAGCUGUGAGGAAGGCAUCUUCCUGUCACCCUACAGGUGGUAAUAAGCUUCUUUAUUAUGUCUCAUGAGCAGUGUUGGGGUGCAGGAAUCACCCCACAAACCAGACAGCCAUUUCAGUCAAGCAGGGACAGUUUAUGGAACAUAUAUCCUGGGACUGAUUGGUCAGAGACACAUGUCACACAGGGGAGUAGAGACUGCAACCCUAUUUCCAAGGACUGCAGUAUGAAAGGCAAAACCACAGAAGCUCUUAGCAACUAAGAGCUCAUACACAGGUGCCGAAAGUCUUCCCAGGCAGUUGGGUAGUUGGUUCGGGUCCAAGGUUAUUGUUACUAGCAUACAAAGCAAUUCUAACUAAACUUAACUAUGAUUGGCCCUAAAGGAGGGCACAGGUUAGGGUAAUUUCCAGGAACAACAGACCACACAACUUAGUGCGAUAUGUAGUUAAUGAUUAGCUGGGCAUGAGAAAGGUCCUCUGUAAUAAUGUAAGAUGGCUGGUGACUGGUAUUAAAACAAAGUGGCUACAGUAAUGUCAGAAAGGCAGCAGCCACCCAGGUCUUAAAGAGAAGAUUACACACACACACACACACACACACACACACACACACACACACACACACAUAUAUAUAUGUAUAUAUAUAUAUAUAUAUAUAUAUAUAUAUAUAUAUAUAUAUCUGUAGCAUCUUCUUAAACCCUUCAGUUGGAAUGCAAAAGGGACCCAUGGAAGGUAGACAUAAGGAAUUUAAAGGAGGAGGCACAGCAAAAGUUCAGAGAACUAAGGACAGCAAACCACCCUGCAGGCUUUGAUUUAUAAAAGCCUAAAGGCUCCCCAUAGCCAACCUAAGCCAGAGCCUUGGAGUCCUUCCCAACCAUGCAAGGACAGGUCCUAUUGUGACCUCAUGAGGAGUGAUUGUGAGGCGGUCCAGCCAACAGAUGUUAAGCUGUAGCCAGGCCUGGAUUUCCUUGAGUGUGUUUAGAGGAGUGGUGGAGUGGAGACUUUGGUGAUUUUGGUGGAUCUAGUGAGCAGUGUGUGGAUUUUGCAUUUGAUUGAUUUGUGAGUAGCUUGUGUAUGUGUGUCUAGGUCAGUGUUUGUGUGGAGGGUCGCUUUUGUGUGUGUGUGUUGUGUGUGUGUGUGUGUUUGCGUGUUUGCGUGUGCAUGUAUGUUGUGUUUUAAGUUUACUUGAGUGUGUGAGUACCUUUGUGUGUGUGUGUGUGUGUGUGUGUGUGUGUGUGUGUGUGUGUGUUGGUAUACUUGGGGGUGACUGUGAGUGCAUCUGUGUGUGUGGGUGUGUGUGUGCCCAACUUGUGUGUGAGUGUCUGUUGUGACGUACGUGCACUAGUUGUAAGUGUGAGAACACCUGUGUGAGGAAAAGUAUUGAGGCUGGCAGUCAGCUUGGCCAUUGUUCCUAAGUGCACAGCAGAGGCAAGAAGACCAUCAACACUGAAAGCACAGAAGACAAAUCCAGUGACUCAGCAGAGGUUAAGCCUGUCGCAAGCAGGCCCUGGCCCAAAAGAUUUAGGGGGUGGGUCAAGAACAUCCGAAAUGGCCUGAUGAACCUGUGUUGCUGCAUUCCGUCCAGAAAAAAACCUCCCCUGGGGCACAACAGAGUUGUUCCCCAGAAAUGAAGAACAUGGAAGGAAUCCAGAGAGCAAGCAUCCAACACUGCCCAGAAGAUCACUAGAGGAUGCCGGAUGCUGCAUCUCUGCAGUCCCAGUAUUGAAGUGGACCCACGUGUGGACACGGUCCUGCAGAAGGGAGCGCUGUGAGAGCUGUCACCUUCCAGGUCAGCUGUGGAAGGAUGAAAGCAAAUGAAGAGAUGCCAGGUGGCAAGAGAGCACCUCAAAGGCAUCACUCUUCCUGGUGGAGGUUGAAAACCAGUCCAAAGCUGGUAAAGACCAGAGCCCUUUUGCCGACCAGGGUCACAUCACACACCUCCUCUUGGCACAAGUUCUCGCCUCACUCUUAGUGGAGAAUAUAUGUCUUCUCAAUGUGUUUAUCCGACUCUGAGAAUAAAAUAGCUGUUUGUGAAA